GAUGAAGAACGUAGCGAAAUGCGAUAAGUAAUGUGAAUUGCAGAAUUCAGUGAAUCAUCGAAUCUUUGAACGCUCAUUGCGCCCGCCAGUAUUCUGGCGGGCAUGCCUGUUCGAGCGUCAUUUCAACCAUCAAGCCCCAGGCUUGUGUUGGGGACCUGCGGCUGCCGCAGGCCCUGAAAACCAGUGGCGGGCUCGCUGUCACACCGGGCGUAGUAGAUUUUAUCUCGCUCAGGGCGUGCUGCGGGUUCCGGCCGUUAAAAAGCCUUUUUUACCCAAGGUUGACCUCGGAUCAGGUAGGAAGACCCGCUGAACUUAAGCAUAUCAAUAAGCGGAGGA
rnacentral:misc_RNA from 1 species